GACGAACGCUGGCGGCGUGCCUAAUACAUGCAAGUCGAACGCUUCUUUCCUCCCGAGUGCUUGCACUCAAUUGGAAAGAGGAGUGGCGGACGGGUGAGUAACACGUGGGUAACCUACCCAUCAGAGGGGGAUAACACUUGGAAACAGGUGCUAAUACCGCAUAACAGUUUAUGCCGCAUGGCAUAAGAGUGAAAGGCGCUUUCGGGUGUCGUUGAUGGAUGGACCCGCGGUGCAUUAGCUAGUUGGUGAGGUAACGGCUCACCAAGGCCACGAUGCAUAGCCGACCUGGGAGGGUGAUCGGCCACACUGGGACUGAGACACGGCCCAGACUCCUACGGGAGGCAGCAGUAGGGAAUCUUCGGCAAUGGACGAAAGUCUGACCGAGCAACGCCGCGUGAGUGAAGAAGGUUUUCGGAUCGUAAAACUCUGUUGUUAGAGAAGAACAAGGACGUUAGUAACUGAACGUCCCCUGACGGUAUCUAACCAGAAAGCCACGGCUAACUACGUG
rnacentral:rRNA from 1 species